GGAAUUUGGAGGCCAAGGCAACACCUUGGACACUGUCAUGUUCCUCAAACCAUUCCUGAACAUUUUUUUUUUGUGUGUGUGACAGGGUGCAUUAUGUUGCUGAAAGAGGCCACUGCCAUCAGGGAACACCAUGGCCAUGAACGGGAGUACGUUGUCUGCAAAAAUUUCUAGUUCAGUGGUAUGUAUCAAAGUAAUACCAUUAUUGCUAGGACCCAAGGUCUCACAGCAGAACAUAGCCCAGAGCAUAACACUGCCUCUGCCGGAUCUGAUGCUUUCCUACGGGGAGGCAUAAUGCGCGCGUGCCACUCGCCAUGCAUGCGCCUUAGCACCCACUCGUCAAGGGACAGAGGAGAGCACCCACUUGUCAAGGGACAAUAGUAUCCAUUUAAGA